UACGGGGGGGGCAAGCGUUGUUCGGAAUUACUGGGCGGCAAGGGUUCGUAGGUGGCUUGCUAAGUCAGACGUGAAAUCCCUCAGCUUAACUGGGGAACUGCGUCUGAGACUGGUGAGCUUGAGUGCAGGAGAGGAACGCGGAAUUCCAGGUGUAGCGGUGAAAUGCGUAGAUAUCUGGAGGAACACCGGUGGCGAAGGCGGCGUUCUGGACUGCAACUGACACUGAUGAACGAAAGCCAGGGGAGCAAACGGG
rnacentral:rRNA from 1 species